GGAAAACCGCAACAGGUUGUCGAAGUCGGGAUAAGAUUCAUUUAAAGACUAGAUUUUAUUUUUCCCAGGAAGAACAAGUUUGUAACUUCUUAUGCAAAAAAAAAAAAAAAGGAAAGAAAAAAAAGAAAAAAAAAAGUCAUCACUGGUUAUCAGCAUUUGAAAGUUGACUCAGAGGCAAGAGAAUUAAGAAGAGGAGUAGAAUUUUAAGAAUGAGUAUGGUUGUCUCAUUCACACCCCGUGAUGGCUCGAAGGUGUCAGUUUUAUUUGCCAUUCUUUCCCUGGUGUUGGUGGUAGCUGUGUUGAUUACAGGAAUAAGGACUCAGAGUGACUCAAAGAAUAAAUAUUAUUUCUGGUCAUACUUCUAGAUGACUGGCAUGUGGAUUAUUUUAGAGCUGAGGCUUUCUGUAAAGAAUGGGCUGGACUCCUAUCAACCCCUGCGGUCCAUCCCUGUAACCUGACUUCCUGCCAUAGGGAAGUGGCCUUCACGGUCCCUAGUCUUACUCUCUUAAUUAAUAUUUAAUACAACAUUGUUCCCAACCUUUCCUUAUACUCAGCUAUUCUCCUGGCCAUAGCUAGGAGUUCUUAGGAGGCAUUCACAUCAAGAUGAACAUGACUUUUGCCCUGUGCGUGGUUGAUUGGACCGGAGAACCAGUUCUAAGCAGAAGGCUACAUAGAUGAGACGAGGAAAAAAAAUGUAAAGGAAAGCCAAUCACCGGUCGUCCAUCACACCGUGCUUGCAUUUCAUGUCUUCUCCUUAAAGCUGUUGUAUUUGAAUGAAUGUAUAAUCUUCACCUGAGUAUUGAUCUUUAUCCUCCAAUCAUUGUGCUCAGAAUAGACAGGACCAGGCUUUGUGCUGGCUCUGGGUUCCAAGGAUCUGCCCUUUACUGGGAAUGUUCCUCACGUCUGAGGUUUUCAUCAUGAAGUGGAAACAAUAGCAUCACUAGUCGAGGCGUGUCAGGAAAGGUGUCACGGUACAGCACGGGGCUACCACGAUGUCUGGCAUGGAGUGAAUCCAGAGAAAAUUGUGUAUAGAAUUGUCAUUGCUUUAUGAACAUCAAGAGAAUUAUGAUUAAGAAAAAGAAAGGAAGGAAGG
rnacentral:lncRNA from 1 species